rnacentral:rRNA from 1 species
GACAGAGGGUGCAAGCGUUGUGCGGAAUUAUUGGGCGUAAAGGGCGCGUAGGCGGUCUUGCAAGUCAUAUGUGAAAUCCCAGGGCUUAACCCUGGAAGUGCAUCUGAUACUGCUCGACUUGAGUCCCGGAGAGGGUGGUGGAAUUCCCAGUGUAGAGGUGAAAUUCGUAGAUAUCCGGAGGAACCCCAGUGGCGAAAGCGGCCACCUGGACUGCACCUGACGCUGACACGCGAAAGCUAGGGGAGCGAACGGG